AUUUUUUAAGUAUUAGGAAAAGAAAUAGAAUGAGGAAAACAGGUGGCUUCAAAUGAAAGUAAUUAUUUCCAAAAACAAAAGUGCAUUUUUUUUCCCUCUACACUCCAUAGCAGUUGCUAGAAACAUUCCACCCUUGAAUCUUACUGAUGUUCCUCUUCAUAAGUUCCAUCAGUGUCACACUUCCUAUGGUGCCCUUUCUACCUGCAAACCCAGUGCUGGAACUAGCACAAGUCAUGUUAAUUUUGUGGUGCUUGACAGAGUCCAUUCUUUACCAUAUUUGUCGUUGACAUAAGGUGUAAAAGAGACAGCUUUCAAAUACUUAUUUUCAUUUUAAUUUAUCUACUUCGAAAAAGCUUGAAUCCAUAUAACCUGAAAGGCCUGAAAAAUCUCACAGCGAGAAGUUAGUAUCAAGUGGCCCUCUUUGGCAAGGAAUAUAUUCCAAUAUCUUGGCAGAAGCAAACAUUUAAUUAAUGUCAUCUUUCCGGCCCUGGCUCCAGAAGAUCUUCCCAUUGGCCUCUCCCUUUCCAAGAAAUAGAGAAUAACUAUGCACUCAUCACAGCUCUUCCUGUCUGUACUGGUAAAGAGAAUAUUAAGAUCUAAGCAUCUGUCUCAACUGAAGCCUCUAUCAGUAAAACAUGAACCCAAAAGAAUCAUUCUCCCUAAUUUUUUCUAUCUUUUUUUCUAUCUUAUGACAUGCAAGCCACACUAUCUCUGAUACACUGGCCACAAAUGAUAAGAUCAGAAGGUGGUACCAAAAUCAAGGGCAAAGAAGCCCAGGCUGGACGUGAAGAAGGCUGCCUGUCUCUGAAGUGACUUGGCCUAAAUUCUGCCCAAUAGGGGUGCUGUAUAUGUAAUGGUGAUAAACUGACCCAAUUCCUUGGGCUUAUGACAUAAAAAUAAGCACCAGACCAUCCCCAUCAGUUUGUUUCUCUAAAAGCUAUUGUACAGCUCAAUGCUGGGAAUGCUCAGUUCAGGAGUGGUUAUCAAAAAGGGGGCUAUAAUUUGUAUCAUUUCUUGGUCCUUCAUGGUCAUUAUGUAGCUUUGCAAUAAGUAUUGUCUCAAAGGAAUCCCAAAUAAGAUUCCCCCUCA